GAUAUUUGAGUUUAUGCCAAGUGAUAUUUUGGUUGUGGAGUUUGGCAAGGUUCAGUGUCCUUGGGCAGGGCAUGCAAACCUGCGUGGAGCUGAAGACAGGCCACGUAUGAUUGGUCCAUGCGUUGCUGGCACCCUUGGAGUCUCUCUUCCUCAUGCUGUGGUUGAGCUCGGUGACACCUGCUCCUUAUUCAAUGAUAUAAAACUUGAUUCAGUGAGGAUGCUCCCUGUCCUUAAGUCUGGUCCGUGUUUAUCACCAGAGUGACACAGCUCUUGAGUUCAAGUCGAUAUACAUCCUCUCCCCAGCCAAUAGCUCGGUCUGCCCUUGUGCUUAGCGCUCCAACACUCAGUCUGGUGACCACGCUCACCCAACUGCUCACCUCACCGUGGCCGAGACGCUUGGAGCAAUUGCAUCCCCGGGUGGUCAGAACAGUGCCACGCUGCCGCAGAACAGAGUCGUGGACAGCUCCACCGCUGGCUUUCCAAUCCAUGUUGAUCUCGAAUGAUCUUGUGCGAGCACUGAAGGUGUGGUAGGUCGUCGACGUCGUGGCCAGCGAGGGCGGGUGCUUGGCUCGAGCAUGAAAACAUUGGAGCUUGUUAACAUGGACGUGUUUUGACGGUGAUUAUGAUGCGCCUGAGGUCAGCGCCGCUGUGGCUGGUUGGGCCGGCUGAGUGAUGAGGAGUAUUCAAGGAGUUCCUGUGGCUGGAGGGCGUUUCCAGUUCUGGGGGAGGAUUAGUUAGGUUUGGGUAUAAGCUUUGGAGGGUUCCUACCUUCUUGCUAUUGUAAUAAGUUAUGCACUUUGAGUAUAUCAGGACUUGUAAUAAAUGUAACUCUUCCUAUGUAAUGACCUUCAGUUUUAGAAAUGAAAAUAAUAUUUUGUAAA